GUGGAGCAGCUUGAUUCAUGGGGAAACAACAUUCUCAGCUAUUGAACAAACAAGACUGCUGUGGCUAUCUUUUGGCCUUGGAGUUUCGCUCCCAACAUGAGUGAAGAGGAUGGUAAACUGAUAAAGGUCCUUCCUUCCCUGCCAAGGGGACAUGCACCAACAAUGCCAUGUGGACUCUGACAUUGCAGACUGGCUUUCUGUUAUACAUCUGGAGAGAUAUCAAGAUACCUUCAAGCAGCAUGGAUAUGGCUCAGUGAGAGAUGUGAUUUCUCUCAGUAAAGAGGACCUACAAAAGCUUGGCAUCACUGCUACUGGCCAUUGCAAAAGGAUUCUGAAUUUAGUAAAACAUACCUGGUUGUUUGUGGGGAACAAAAGUGGACACAUGGCAGGAGAUACCCACUGCAAAUCUGGCAAAUAUGCAGAUUUCCUGGAUGGGCCUAAAGUUGAAGAAAAGGAUGAUGUUGUCAUAAAUAAAGAAGUCAUGGCAGAAUCUGUUUCUGGCCCUGGGAUUCAGCAAAACUCAACAGAUCAGAGCCAACAGCCAUUAUCAAAUAAGAAACCAGCUUCUCCAAUGGCCAAGCCAAUACCCAAACCCAGAACUGUGUUCCCUCAUACACACCACACAGUCAAGCCAGAGCAGGCCUCGUUGUUGCCACCACAGAUAUCUGCACCUGUUGGUAAACCCACUUCUUUAUUUGAACAAACUUUAGGAACAUUUAUUAAUCCGGAAGCAUUUGUUCCUGGUAAAUAUGCCACAAAUGCUGAAAGUCUUGAGAUUACAACAGAGCCCCAGGCAGGGAUGGGAGGUAAAGUCCCAAGCGUCACUCUGCAACCUCAAUGUGGGGAAAGAAUGAAUAACUCAGGAUCUGCUCUGCAAAUGACUAGUGAGGUCAAGAGUGUGGAUGCAACUUCUUUUCCCCCCAUCCCUCCAUAUUCCACCUGUCAGAGCCAGCCUGCAGACACCAGUCCAUCACAGUUCUUUUCAACUGCUUCUAAAGUACAGAGAGAGCCCUUGUCACUUUCUCCUGCCCUUACCAACUCUACCUUUCCAGAGAAUAGGAACGAGAUGGUGCCAGAUGUUGCUGUACUCUUGUCAGCACCAACCAAAAAUGGGGAUGUAAAGGACUCUCCAGGGCACCAGCCUAGUACACAGCCUUUCAGACCAGCCAUGCAAAAUGGGAUUGUGGCCAUAGAGAAGGAGGCCAACUCCAAGGGACAGCUCUGCCAGGAUCAAGACCACACACCACAAGGAUCAGCCAGCAGUUCAGGUCCAGUUGAGGAGUCCAUCAGCCCCUAUUGUGAGAGCAUGUUUGGACACUUUUGGUCUUCUCAGAAUGCAGCUUCCCUUGAAUGCCAGGAAUAUGAAGAGGUGCCAGAAUGUGCAUCAAGCCAGAAAGAAGGAGCACCUAUGAGCAGGAGCUCCAGAACAGAAGACAAGAGUCAAUCUGCUAAGAAGGAGACUGCCCUCAACAGCUGCAUUGACCAGAAUGAGAAUGAGGGCUAUUCUACAGUGGAGGCUCCGUGGGGUCAAGGCUCUCCAUUCAGACUCUCCAACCACCUGUAUCCAGAUGAGAUUUUAGAUGACUUGACCAUCUCCCCCUAUGCCAGCUAUACCUCACUGUCAGAGCGGCCAUCCACUGUGCUCAACGGCUGGUUAGACAAGCUCUCCCCACAGGGGAAUUACGUCUUCCAGCGACGCUUUGUUAGAUUCGAUGGAAAAAACAUCAUGUAUUUUAACAACGAGAAGGAGCCAUAUCCUAAAGGAAUGAUUCCUCUCUCCAUCAUUGACAUGGUGCGUUCCACCAAGGACAACAAAUUCCAGGUCGUCACUAAGCACAGGAUCUUUGUCUUCCGAACUGAAAAUGAGGCCCAGAGAGAUGAAUGGUGCAACACCCUGCAGCAGAAGGUGACUGAGCAACGGCUGCUUUGUUCCCAACCAUGCCUCAGCAGCAGUAACAGCCGUUUUCAGAAGUUUGGCUACUUGGAAAUGAAGGGCUACAAGUCCAAGCUCUUUGUGGUGCUUAUCCUGGCAGAGAUGUGGCUGUAUAAAAGUGAGCAGUUCUUCAAGAUGGGUGUUGCCAUCUGCCUGAUUGAGAUGCAUGGCACCACCAUUCGAGAAGCCAAAGGCCGCAGCUUUGAGCUCAUCACUCCAUUCAAAAUCUUCAGUUUUGUUGCUGAGUCUGAACGAGAGAAGCGGGAUUGGAUGGAGGUCUUGCAGAACUCCAUUGCAGAGACACUGUAUGAUUAUGAAGUGGCUGAGAAGAUCUGGUCUAACAAAGCAAACAGAUUCUGUGCUGACUGUCACGCCCUAAGCCCUGACUGGGCCUCCAUCAACUUGUGUGUGGUGAUCUGCAAGCAGUGUGCAGGUCAGCAUCGAAGCCUAGGCUCCAGCAUAUCCAAGGUACAGAGUCUGAAACUGGACACAAGUAUUUGGAGCAAUGAGAUGGUUCAGCUGUUCAUCAUGCUCGGGAAUGAACAAGUGAACAAAUUUUGGGAGGCACAGCUCCCACCUUCUGAGGCCUUGUACCCUGAUGCCAACAAUGAGCAGAGACGAAACUUUAUCACUUCCAAAUACCGCUAUGGAUGCUACCGUAUGCCGCAUCCACAUUACAGCAGCCAGGAAAACAUUUUGCAGGCUCUUUGUACAGCUGUUUCUGGGCCUGGACUGCUGAAAACAAUGUUGCAGUUUUUUGCAACCACCAUGGAAGCAGAGAUGGGAUGUUGUGACGCCACUUUGAAAGCCAAGUCUUGGUGCAACAAUGGCCAGGGUCAACAAGGGAGCUCCCCAGGCAAUCUUGGUGUGGAGGAACUGAGUCUAGAAGGAGUCUACAAUGAGGUCACACAAGCAAUUACUCAUUGUGGGUAUCUGUACAAGGCCCCAGCCAUGACAAAACUCACAGUGAUCAAGAAGAGCAGAGAAGAAUUUCAGAGAGUCUGGUGCUCACUUGAGAAGUUUUUCCUCUUCUAUGAGACGGACAAGAGCUCUGAACCAGUGGGGAAGAUAGAAAUGGCAGAUGUUAUUUCACUUGGUGUGACCAGAACAGAUGUGUUGGCGAACCCUGGCUCCUCAGACAGGUUCCGCUUCACACUGGAGCUGUAUCUGAACAAUGAACGAGUACAACAGCUCGGGGCUGAUGGUCCAGACAGUCUGCAGUCCUGGGCCAGUGCUAUUGGGAAGUGGUUCACCCCUCUCAGUUGCCAUUGCCUGCUGGGCUACGAAUUCCAGAGGGUGGGCAGGCUCUGCUAUAAGUCCAUGUUAAAUCCCAGUCAGUGGCUGCAAGGUUUCUUCAUCCUCCAGAAAUCUCACCUUUUCAUAUGUCCAGGGGAAGAGGGGGCAGCUGAGGACAGCAUCAACCUGCGGCAGCUUCAGGAGCUCAGUGUUGUCCCCCUGGCUGAAGGUGCAGAGAAGAAAGAGAUGCUAGUCCUCGUGGAGAUGGGGCGGACCUUCUGCCUUCAAGGAACAUGUCGGCUAGAUUUUUCGACCUGGUGCAUGGCUAUCCAGGCUUCAGCUGGAGGCCAGGGGAAUGCUUUGCGAGAUCAGCAGCUCAGCAGGAGUGGCAUCCCCAUCAUUGUGAACAGCUGCAUUGCUUUCAUCACCCAGUAUGGACUGCAACAUGAAGGUAUUUAUCGGAAGAACGGAGCCAAGUCCCGCAUCAAGCUUUUGAUUGAGGAUUUCCGUCGGGAUGCCCGAAAUGUCAAGCUGCGCAUCAGUGAUAAUUUCAUUGAGGAUGUGACAGAUGUGCUGAAGAGGUUCUUCCGGGAGCUAGAGGAUCCUGUCUUCACUACAUACUUGCACCCUCAGUGGAAAGAAGCUGCAGGAAUCACCCAGAAGACCCAACGACUGGACCGAUACAAGGAGCUGAUAAACCACUUACCCCCCCUCAACCGCAGGACCCUGGCUGCUCUGAUUGGCCACCUAUAUCGGGUACAGAAAUGUGCAGAUCUCAACCAGAUGAGCACUAAGAACCUGGCCCUGCUAUUUGCACCCAGCCUCUUCCAGACUGAUGGGAAAGGGGAACAUGAGGUCAAGGUGAUGGAGGACCUGAUUGACAACUAUGUCCACAUCUUCAAUAUAGAUGAAGACCAGGUGUUACAGAUGGAUCUGGAGAACAGUCUGAUUACUACCUGGAGGGACGUGCAGCUCUCACAAGCUGGUGAUAUCAUUCUAGAGGUUUACCUGGAGCAGAGGAAUACCGACUGUUGUGUCACUCUUAAGGUGUCCCCUGUCAUGAGAGCAGAAGAACUUACAAAUCAAGUGCUGGAGAUGCGAAAUGUGGCCGCAAGUCAGGAUAUUUGGCUGACCUUUGAGGUCUUAGAGAAUGGGGAGCUAGAGCGCCCCUUGCAUCCCAAGGAGAAGGUUCUAGAGCAGGCUCUACAGUGGUGUAAGCUUUCCAAACCCAGCUCUGCCUAUUUGCUAGUGAAAAAGGUGCCCAUUCAGGAAGGCAGCUGCCUUUUCACAGGCAUCAAACGGGAAAGCCCAAAAUGUGGUCUCUUGAAGUGUCGUGAGGAAUGGCCCAAACCACUGGGGAGCAAGUUUCAGGAGCGCUAUUUUGUCAUCAAGGACCACAAGUUGCUUAUGCUGAAAGAGAAACGGCAUUUUUCAAACAACAAAGCACUUUGAGUUCAACUUGACAUCAGCAAAUGGGGAAAAAUUGGAAUGUAAUGACAUUUUCUGAGUGCAAUGAAGUAAAUGUGAACAAAAGGACAGUAAACAGUAAACAUUGAUCACUGACCUUCCUUUAUGUUGUGGUCAUUCUAGCACCACAUUGUGUCUUUGGACAGGGGAAUUACCUUGCUCUUUUCCAUUCCCAGAGUGUCAAACCAGAGCGGGAGUGGCUGCUGGACAUGGCCAAGGUUUACAUGGGGAUUCGAAAAAAGCUGAAGCCACCUUCACAGUGGGGUUUUACUCUGGCCCUAGAAAAACAGCAACUGUGAGUACCUUUUCUAUGCUGACCAGGGAGGGCAGGAAAAUAGGCCAUUUCUAUCUUCCAGCCUGCCUUCUUCUUCCCUGAAUUUUGUUCAUCUCAGCUAGGGAUGUUACAAUCAUUCAUUCCAGUUUGCUAAACAUACAGAUUUUUGUUUUCUCAAGCCCCUUUACAUUUUUGUUUAUGAGCUGAUGAGAUGGUUUGUUUGCAAAUGAACUAAUAGGGCAGGAAUGUAUUUGAAAUGGGAUGUUCUGGAUGGUUUUAUUGUUUUAUUGCUUCAAUACUAAGUUGAUGUAUUAAACAGCUGGGUUGCAAUUGAGUGUGUCUCUCACAUGGAUCUAGAUUUGUUGGUGGUGUGUGCCUUCAAGUCAUUUCUGACUUACGGCAACCCUAGGGCAAACCUAUCACAGGGUUUUCUUGGCAAGAUUUGUGCAGAGGAGGUUUGCCAUUGCUUUCUUCUGAGGUUGUGAGAGUGUGACUUGCCCAAGAUCACCCAGUUGGUUUCUGUGGUCUGGCUUUCCUGGGGCACGUCAUAGGGGGAACUAAAUAUAUUUCCCACCCUUCUUCAGGGUCAAGAAGAAUUAUGACAGCAAUUUACAUCUCUAGCAAAGAGGGAUAGAAGAAACCUGUCAAAAAUUAACUCUCUGUACUGAAUACAUGGCAAUAUGUUCUACAAAAGCCAUACCAUCUCCACUACAUAAUAACUUAUGGCAUGUUGACACUUUGUGAUUGCCUGAAUUUCACCCUGACAAGUGCCACUACUCAGGGUGGAAUAAAGGGCUUGAGUUUGUUUUCAUUGUUGAUGAGGACAUUGGUGAGAUAGCUGCUUAGCUUUUGCCCACCAUCCUAUGUCCAUAAGACAACAAUAGGGAGGAAGGGAAAUAUGAAUCAUAACUGCUUAACCUUUGUUCCCAGCAAAGUUGAAUAAUAAUUCUGCCUCCUAUUGUGGUAUGUGGAAUAUAUAAGGGUUUGGGUACAAGGAUUUCCCUGGAAGGUUCUAGGUGGGAAGUAUAAAUUUUCUAACUCUUCAUUCCAAUAGCUGUCAGCCGCAAUAGUUAAAUGGGACUGCCAUGCUCAGUGACAAUUCACCUCUGAGAUUCUGAAGGCAAAUCAACAGAUAACUAUAUUUCUUUCAGAAAUUCUUGAAGCAUCUGACUAACCAUAAAUGGAAACAGAAUGCUGGUCUUCGGUAUUUUCCAUUGGGGCAUUUCUGGUAUUCCUACAGGUUCUUUCCCUGGAGAAACUUUGAAUGUUGCUCUGGAGAAUAUUCCAUUGUCUGUUGAACUACAGUAGAGGGACAAAGGUAAAUAGUGCUGGCAGUAAUUGAUAGUAUCUCUUUCACAGGUAUUUGGCAUGUACAGGACAAUCAGAACUGUGGGACUGGACCACCAGCAUUCUGAAAGCCCAGCAUGACAGCAUCCGUCCAGUCAUUCUACGUCGACGCUCUUCUUCUGACCUGGCCAAGCAGAAGUUUGGCACCAUGCCCCUUAU